rnacentral:rRNA from 1 species
AGGUGACCUGCGGAAGGAUCAUUAUUGAAAUAAAACUCGGGCAGGGGGAGGUGGUUGUAGCUGGCCCCUAGGGGCAUGUGCACACUGUCUCUCUCUUGCUUGUUUUUUUCAUUCUUUCCACUUGUGCACUGCUUGUAGGCAGCCUGGCACUGUUCAGGUUGUCUAUGAUUUUCUUUACAUACAUGAAUCAUUGUUGUACAGAAUGUGAUAAAAAAGAGUAAUACAACUUUCAACAACGGAUCUCUUGGCUCUCGCAUCGAUGAAGAACGCAGCGAAAUGCGAUAAGUAAUGUGAAUUGCAGAAUUCAGUGAAUCAUCGAAUCUUUGAACGCAUCUUGCGCUCCUUGGUAUUCCGAGGAGCAUGCCUGUUUGAGUGUCAUUAAAUUCUCUCAAAACAUACACUUGAGUGUGUUUUGGAUUGUGGGAGUGUCUGCUGGCUUGUUUAUACAUGAGCCAGCUCUCCUGAAAGACAUUAGCUUUGGGGGGGAUGUGCCAAGUCACUUCUGCCUUUCCAUUGGUGUGAUAGAUGAAUAAACUUAUCUACGCCAGGAAAGCAGGUUGCAGGUGAAAGCACUGUGAUCUCUCUGCUCUCUAAUUGACAUUUGUCUGAUAACUUGACCUCAAAUCAGGUAGGACUACCCGCUGAACUUAAGCAUAUC